rnacentral:tRNA from 1 species
GCCGCCGUGGCUCAGCCUGGUAGAGCACGUGCUUGGUAAGCACGGGGUCGCGGGUCCAAAUCCCGUCGGCGGCU